rnacentral:rRNA from 1 species
GCAUAACGCGAAGAACCUUACCCACCUUUGACAUGUACGGAAUCCUUUAGAGAUAGAGGAGUGCUCGAAAGAGAGCCGUAACACAGGUGCUGCAUGGCUGUCGUCAGCUCGUGUCGUGAGAUGUUGGGUUAAGUCCCGCAACGAGCGCAACCCUUGCCAUUAGUUGCUACAUUUAGUUGAGCACUCUAAUGGGACUGCCGGUGACAAACCGGAGGAAGGUGGGGAUGACGUCAAGUCCUCAUGGCCCUCAUAGGUGGGGCUACACACGUCAUACAAUGGCUGGUACAAAGGGUUGCCAACCCGCGAGGGGGAGCUAAUCCCAUAAAGCCAGUCGUAGUCCGGAUCGCAGUCUGCAACUCGACUGCGUGAAGUCGGAAUCGCUAGUAAUCGUGGAUCAGAAUGUCACGGUGAAUACGUUCCCGGGUCUUGUACACACCG